rnacentral:rRNA from 1 species
ACAAAGGGCAGCAAGUUCGCGAGGACAAGCAAAUCCCAUAAACCGUGGCUCAGUUCAGAUCGUAGGCUGCAACUCGCCUACGUGAAGGCGGAGUCGCUAGUAAUCGCAGGUCAGCAUACUGCGGUGAAUACGUUCCCGGGCCUUGUACACACCGCCCGUCACACCAUGGAAGUUGGCCACGCCCGAAGCCGUUACUCCAACCCUUGUGGAGGAGGACGUCGAAGGUGGGGCUGAUGACUGGGGUGAAGUCGUAACAAGGUAUCCGUACCGGAAGGUGCGGAUGGAUCACCUCCUAAC